rnacentral:rRNA from 1 species
GACGAACGCUGGCGGCGUGCUUAACACAUGCAAGUCGAGCGGUAAGGCCCUUUCGGGGGUACACGAGCGGCGAACGGGUGAGUAACACGUGGGUGACCUGCCCUCAGCUCUGGGAUAAGCCUGGGGAAACCGGGUCUAAUACCGGAUAUGACUCCAUGACGCAUGUUGUGGGGUGGAAAGCCUUGUGCGGCUGAGGAUGGGCCCGCGGCCUAUCAGCUUGUUGGUGGGGUGAUGGCCUACCAAGGCGACGACGGGUAGCCGGCCUGAGAGGGCGACCGGCCACACUGGGACUGAGACACGGCCCAGACUCCUACGGGAGGCAGCAGUGGGGAAUCUUGCGCAAUGGGCGAAAGCCUGACGCAGCGACGCCGCGUGAGGGAUGACGGCCUGGU